UGGGGAAUAUUGCGCAAUGGGCGAAAGCCUGACGCAGCGACGCCGCGUGGGGGAUGAAGCUUCUCGGAGUGUAAACCCCUUUCGACCCGGACGAAUGACCCGCAAGGGUUUGACGGUACGGGUAUAAGAAGCCCCGGCUAACUACGUGCCAGCAGCCGCGGUAAUACGUAGGGGGCCAGCGUUGCUCGGAAUUACUGGGCGUAAAGGGUUCGUAGGUGGUGCGGCAAGUUGGGAGUGAAAUCUCUGGGCUUAACCCAGAGGCUGCUUUCAAAACUGCCGCGCUCGAGUGCGAGAGAGGUCAGUGGAAUUGCAGGUGUAGCGGUGAAAUGCGUAGAUAUCUGCAGGAACACCCGUGGCGAAGGCGGCUGACUGGAUCGCAACUGACACUGAGGAACGAAAGCUAGGGGAGCAAACAGGAUUAGAUACCCUGGUAGUCCUAGCCCUAAACCAUCGGAACUUGGGGUGGCCCGCGUAGGCGAGUCGUCCCGUAGCUAACGCGUUAAGU
rnacentral:rRNA from 1 species